rnacentral:rRNA from 1 species
UACAGAGGGUGCAAGCGUUGUUCGGAAUUAUUGGGCGUAAAGGGCGCGUAGGCGGUGCGGUAAGUCUGUCGUGAAAUCUCUGGGCUCAACUCAGAGUCUGCUGCAGAAACUGCCGUGCUUGAGUGUGGGAGAGGUGAGUGGAAUUCCCGGUGUAGCGGUGAAAUGCGUAGAUAUCAGGAGGAACACCGGUGGUGUAAACGGCUUUCUGGACCAUAACUGACGCUGAGGCACGAAAGCGUGGGUAGCAAACAGG